AUGAGAGCUAUUUCCUGCAUCUUUCUGAGGAUCUCUCAUCCUAGCGUGCAUUUCUUCUCCUGCUUGUGGACUUGUCCAGCCUUCUGGAGCUCAGGAGGCUUCAGGGAAGAGGCCAGGUCGGGGGAGGUUCUCAGGGCUCCAAGUUGGGGGGCCGAAUCAGUUCUAUGGAGAUUCCUAGUCUCACAGCGCACCCUAGUGGACCAUCAGCGCCUCCACGCCUCCUCCCCUCAUCCCCCACCCCCUUCCCCGCUGUAGUCAGCCAGCCAUUCGCUUCAAUCUCCUGGUUUAUUACAAUCUGCAAUAUAUUACUUUCUUCCAAAGUAUUGACAACGUGCGAGAGACUCGAGCAACCCUGGGCCGCUCUCCUGUAAUCAGCAUAUUUAUUCCCGUUUAUAUGGAAAGGGAAAAAAAUCUGGAUUAAAUCCCCGUGACCUAUAUUCAGUUCCAGUGUCACUCUUGCUGGAUCCUCUUUAAACCCACUCCACACUGCUUCUCUGUCUAUUACAUGCUAAUUUAAUUUUACUAUGGACGAUAUUUUCAGCAUUUGCUGAGGACAGUAAAUUUUGUAGUUUAUGUUAUUUCACUUUUUAUGACUUUUUAACACUUAAUAAAAUUUUAUUAGAGCACUUUUGUGUUUACA
rnacentral:lncRNA from 1 species